CGGUCUGGGGGUUGGGCUCAGAACACGGGGCUCUGGGCACCUUUCGAGCCCGGCAGGCUCUCGCUCCAGGGCGGAGGCGCCUCCAGUCCCUGGCUCGGGCUCCGUGCUCGGGAGUGGUGCUGCAGGCCGCGUCUAGGGUCUCCCAAACCUUGCCACAGCCACAGCCAGUCCUGGUGAGCUCGCUUCUGGGCCCCGCGCAGCCCAGCGCCCCACCACAGCCAUUACAAGCCACGGGAAAGUCCAUGGUGUGUGAUUGAGUCUAGCCGGAGCUAUUGGCUAACAGACAGCCACUGCCUUCAUACAACAAGACAACGUGCAAUCUACCCCUGCAGAGGCACUAAUGAUACAUUUGUUAAAUUCUCAUAAUACUGACUCAUGAUGUCAGGGGGACAUAUGGAUACUCAGCACUUCUGACAAACAAACCCCGAGGAGCCUCAAGUUGUGAACACCCAGAACUGUGGCAACCAGAAGUUACAGGCCAUUUUUGAAAACAUCAUGCAUUUAAGACAUGAUCUGAUACUCCUUAAAAUCCAUGGGAAUCAGUCGACUGAUUUUAUUAGGUUUUGAGGAGGCCUUCAAAACACAGGCCUGGAUUAGAGUGGCGUGCAGCUGUAUCACCUCAGCAGGAGCUUUGAGACACCAGGGAAACUUUGCUAGCUGCUAUACCCCUUAAGCAUCUGCCAUUGAUUUCAGGAUUAUGCAAGGGGAGUAAUGGAAUUUAUCAGGGACAGUUAUGAAUCAACGUUGUAUGGAUCAAAAUACAGUAGAGAGUUAUGAACACAAAGGUUACAAACUGACCAGUCAACCACACACCUCAUUUGGAACCAGAAGUAUGCAAUCAGGCACAGA